rnacentral:rRNA from 1 species
CUUACCACAUCCAUACAUAGUAAAGAUUGACAAACUGAUAGCUCUUUCUUGAUUCUAUGGGUGGCAGUGCAUGGCAAUUCUCAGAUGGUAGAGCGAUUUGUCUAGUUAAUUCCAUUAACAAAUGAGACCUCAGCCUGCUAAGUAGCUAUGUAAAGGUGAUCCUUUAUGGCUAGCUUCUUAGAGAACUAUGGCUGCGUAGGCCAAGAAAGUUAGAGGUAAUAACAGGUUUAUGAUACCUUUAGAUGUUUUGGGCCACAUGCAUGCUGCAUUGAUGUAUUCAAUGAGUUUAUAGCCUUGGUUGAUGGCCUAGGUAAUAUUUGAAAUUUCAUUGUAAUAGAGAUAGAUCAUUACAAUUAUUGGUCUUCAAUAAGGAAUUCCUAGUAAGUGUGAGUCAUCAAAUUGCAUUGAAUACAUCCCUACCUUUUGUAUGCACCACCCAUAUCUGCUACUUAUUGAAUGAUCUGAUUAAGUGUUUGGAUCAUGGCAAUGAGGAUGGUUCACUGCCCAUGAUGUUGUGAGAAGUCCACUAAACCUUAUCAUUUAGAGGAAGGAGAAGUCAUAAAAAGGUUCUUAUAGGUGAACUUGUGGAAGGAUCAUUGUCGAAACCUACUCAAUGAAUGACCCAUAAAUGUAUUGAUGAAACACCAAGGGAAUGAGGGUGUCUGCAUGCCUUGAGCCCAUUUUAGCCUAGCUGAGCACUAUAGUCACUUUGUUUUACCUCUUAGGCAGGGCAAAAUAGUUAGUAUCAUCACCCAUGAUUGAAUAACGAACCCCCGAUGUGAAUCAUGUGAAGGAACUAGAAUGAAAAAGAGCAUGUAUGCCAUUGCCAUCCCAUUUAUGGUGCUUAUAUGGGUGGCAUCGUGACUCUUUUUGUCAUGAAAAUCCACAACGACUCUUGACAAUGGAUAUCUUAGCUUUUACAUCAAUGAAAAACAUAGCAAAAUACAAUAUUGGUGUGAAUUGUAGAAUCCUAUGAAUCAUCGAGUCUUUGAAUACAAGUUGCACCCUAAGCCAUUAGGCUGAGGGCAUGCCUGCUUAGGUGUCAUGCAUUGUCACCCCUCCAACCCCUUGCCCAUUAAGCUUCAUGUGAGGGGGCAAAAGAUGGCCUUCCAUAAUUUCAUUAGUCACGAUAGGCCUAAAAGUGAGUCCUCGACAAUGAUAGCAUCAUGACUGUCAUUGGCAAAUCUCCCAACAUGCCUUAUUUUUGGUGACGCACGAGCUUCAAAAAGGAAUUCAAUUAAAAUUCUUGAACUGGGAUGAGGUAGCUGAUGACAAUGUUAGAGAGUCUAGAGAUGUCAAUGGGGGCCUUAGGAAGGGUUAUAUUUUUUGUUAACUAGCCUACCCACCCUAGAAAUGGCUCAGCCAAGGAUAGGGUCCAGUGACUAAAAGAGCACUGCAUGUCACAUGGUGUCUACUGCACCUUCGGUGGCCCUUGAAAAUCCUGAGGACCAAGUGUCAUCCAUGCUCGGUCAUACUCAUAAACAUAUCAGGUCUCUAAGAUAAAUGGCCUUUGGUUGAUGGAACAAUGUAGGCAAGGGAAGUUAACAAGAUGGAUCCAUAACCUCAAGAAAAAGAUUGCUUUGAGGGCUGGGCAAGGGGUCCCAGUUUUGAACCCCGUCGACUACUAGUGAACUGCUUGAGCUACUAUCACCAACUCAAAAUUGGUAUGAGAGGGGGAAUCACACCAUUUAAUUAAAACAAAGCAUUGCAAUGGUCCUUGUGGAUGCUCAGGCAAUGUGAUUUCUACCCAAUGCUUUGAAUGUCAAUGGUAAGAAAUUCCACCAAGCAUGGGUAAACGACAGGAAUAACUAUGACUCUUUUAAGGUAGCCAAAUGCCUCAUCAUCUAAUUAGUGACACACAUGAAUGGAUUAAUGAGAUUCCCACUGUCUUUGUCUACUAUCCAGCAAAACCACAGCCAAGGGAAUGAGCUUGGCAAAAUCAGUGGGGAUAGAAGACCCUAUUGAGCUUGGCUUCAGUCCAACUUUGUGAAAUGACUUGAGAGGUGUAGGAUAAGUGGAAGCCCUCUAGCAAAAUUGAAAUACCACUACUUUUAACAUUAUUUUACUUAUUCUAUGAAUCGAAGGUAAGGCACAACCCCUUUUUUUGGACCCAAGGCCAACCUCAAUCGGUCAAUUAGGUAAAAUACAUUGUUAGGUAGAGAGUUUGGCAGGGGCAACACAUCUAUUAAAAGAUAAUGCAAGUGUCCUAAGAUGAGCUUAAUGAUAAUAGAAAUCUCAUGUGGAAAAUAGGAUAAAAGCUCAUUUGAUUUUGAUUUCUAGUAUGAAUAUGAAUUGGAAAACAUGGCCUAUCGAUCCUUUAACUUUUGAAAUUCGAAGCUAGAUGUGUCAAAAAAAGUUACCAUAGGGAUAACUAGCUUCUAGCAACCAAUCGUUCAUAACAACAUUGCCUUUUUAUCCUUGGAUUUUAGCUCUUCCUAUCAUUGUGAAGCAAAAUUCACCAAGUGCUAGAUUGUUCACCCACCGAUAGGGAAUGUGAGCUAGGUUUAAACCAUCAUGAGAUAGGUUAGUUUUACCCUACUAAUGGUAGCGUUGCAAUAGUAAUUCAACCUAGUACAAGAGGAAUUAUUGAUUUGCACAAUUGGUCAUCACACUUAGUUAAAAAGCUAGAGGCACAAAGCUUUCAUGCUCUGGAUUAUGACUAAAUGCCUCUAAGUCAAAAUUCGGGCUUAAAGUGAUGCACACACCCAUCACCCGAUUGUCUACCCGUAAUAGGGGCCCAUGGCCCCUAAGAGCAUGUGUCGUAGGUGCAACUUUUGUAGUGGACAAGCCACAUGGACCUCUUUGGAGCUCAAUUCCCAUCGAACGGUGGGUAGAAUCCUUUAUAGAUGACUUAAAUAUGCAAUUGGGUAUUGUAAGUGGUAAAGUGGACUUGCUGACACAAUCUAUGGGAUUUAGG